rnacentral:rRNA from 1 species
UACGUAGGGUGCGAGCGCUGUCCGGAAUUACUGGGCGUAAAGAGCUCGUAGGUGGUUUGUCGCGUUGUUCGUGAAAACCGGGGGCUUAACUCUCGGCGUGCGGGCGAUACGGGCAGACUGGAGUACUGCAGGGGAGACUGGAAUUCCUGGUGUAGCGGUGGAAUGCGCAGAUAUCAGGAGGAACACCGGUGGCGAAGGCGGGUCUCUGGGCAGUAACUGACACUGAGGAGCGAAAGCGUGGGGAGCGAACAGG